UACGUAGGGUGCGAGCGUUGUCCGGAAUUACUGGGCGUAAAGAGCUCGUAGGUGGUUUGUCGCGUUGUUCGUGAAAACUCACAGCUUAACUGUGGGCGUGCGGGCGAUACGGGCAGACUGGAGUACUGCAGGGGAGACUGGAAUUCCUGGUGUAGCGGUGGAAUGCGCAGAUAUCAGGAGGAACACCGGUGGCGAAGGCGGGUCUCUGGGCAGUAACUGACGCUCAUGCACGAAAGCGUGGGGAGCAAGCAGG
rnacentral:rRNA from 1 species